rnacentral:lncRNA from 10 species
AGAUUGGCAUCCAGAGUGUUUGGAGAGUGGGCCCAUAAGAGAACAUUGUGUGUGUAUGUGUGUGUGUGUGUGUGUGUGUGUGUGUGUGUGUGUGCACGUGCACGCACGUAUGUGUUGGGGGCUGUGUAGCUUCUCCUAACUUCACCAUGCAGAAGUCAAGGAAACGGUUACAGAGGCAAAAUGUGGGAGUAGCUAAUGGCAAUGGCCCAGAGAGAUGAAAAAAUGUGAGAAAACCAAAGCUUGGAGGUAGGAACUUUCCGAUUCUUUUGGAGUAGACUAAGGUGACUUAAGUAGGAAAAGAACGCAUAGCCAGUAACUCUCCCAACAGAACUGGAUUCGUGCCUGGGGUGAUUCAGGAUGUCCAGUUAAGCUGGGAAAUACUGAUUCCACUGAUCCCCUUCAUUCACUCAGAGCAGACCGAAGACUGUGAGACUUCCUCCCCACAGUGAGCUAAAAGGACGCUUUUGUCAGAGUGGGGAAAUAAAAGGGCUUUAUGGGAAGGAAGAUAAGAACAGAUGAGUCAGAGGUUUCUGCUUAAUGCUCACUCUUCAAUUCUUUCCCGAGCAAAACCAAGAAUCUUCUUGGGCUAAGCCCCAAUUUGGGGUUCACCUGCCUUGCAGCAACAUGGCACCAAACAUGCGGCAGAAGAGAGAAAACGACAGCAUGAGAGACGGAGAAAGAAAUGGCCAGUUGGCAAGGUGGUAAUG